GCCAGGCAUGGUGGUGCAUGCCUGUAAUCCCAGCUACUCGGGAGGCUGAGGCAGGGGAAUCGCUUGAACCCGGGAGAGGGAGAUUGCAGUGAGCCAAGAUCAUGCCACUGCACUCCAGCCUCGAGACUCCGUCUCAAACAAACAAACAAAAACAACCUGAUCCCAGUGAGAUGGUACAAGAACUUGCAAAGUAAAAUACACCUGGGGUAUAGUGUCUUCUGAGAGGGUGGUUAUUGAGUCUCCCUCUAUUGCCCAGGCUGGAGUGCAGUGGCGUGGUCUCGGCUCACUGCAACCUCUGCCUUCUGGGUUCAAGAGAUUCUGCUGCCU
rnacentral:SRP_RNA from 2 species